UACGUAGGCAGCGAGCGUUGUUCGGAGUUACUGGGCGUAAAGAGUGCGUAGGCGGUUUUCUAAGUUUGGUGUGAAAUCUCCCGGCUCAACUGGGAGGGUGCGCCGAAGACUGGAAGGCUUGAGUAUGGGAGAGGUAAGCGGAAUUCCUGGUGUAGCGGUGAAAUGCGUAGAUAUCAGGAGGAACACCUAUUGCGAAGGCAGCUCGCUGGGACGUAACUGACGCUGAGACGCGAAAGCGUGGGGAGCAAACAGG
rnacentral:rRNA from 1 species